CAGUCGCCGCGGUAAAACAGAGGGUGCAAGCGUUAAUCGGAAUUACUGGGCGUAAAGCGCGCGUAGGUGGUUCGCCAAGUUGGAUGUGAAAUCCCCGGGCUCAACCUGGGAACUGCAUCCAAAACUGGCGAGCUAGAGUAUGGUAGAGGGUGGUGGAAUUUCCUGUGUAGCGGUGAAAUGCGUAGAUAUAGGAAGGAACAUCAGUGGCGAAGGCGACCACCUGGACUGAUACUGACACUGAGGUGCGAAAGCGUGGGGAGCAAACAGGAUUAGAUACCCCCGUAGUCCCUGUCUCUUAUAC
rnacentral:rRNA from 1 species